rnacentral:rRNA from 1 species
UACGUAGGGGGCGAGCGUUGUCCGGAAUCAUUGGGCGUAAAGCGCGCGUAGGCGGCUUUGCAAGUCGGGUGUGAAAUCCCCAGGCUUAACCUGGGAACUGCAUUCGAGACUGCAUUGCUAGAGUAUGGGAGAGGGAAGUGGAAUUUCAGGUGUAGCGGUGAAAUGCGUAGAUAUCUGAAGGAACAUCAGUGGCGAAAGCGACUUCCUGGACCAAUACUGACGCUCAUGUGCGAAAGCGUGGGGAGCAAACAGG